rnacentral:pre_miRNA from 1 species
UCAUUCAGAUUCGCCAUCAUACGUCCAACUGUGCAUUUGAUAUGCAUACAUAUAUAUAUGCAUCACGAGCCACGGUUGGGCUGUAUGAUGGCGAUAUCGAUUGA